rnacentral:rRNA from 1 species
UACGGAGGAUGCAAGCGUUAUCCGGAAUGACUGGGCGUAAAGCGUCCGCAGGUGGCAUUUCAAGUCUGCUGUUAAAUACUAGGGCUUAACCCUGGAGCGGCAGUGGAGACUGAAGAGCUAGAGUUCGGUAGGGGUGGAGGGAAUUCCCGGUGUAGCGGUGAAAUGCGUAGAGAUUGGGAAGAACACCGGUGGCGAAAGCGCUCUGCUGGGCCGAAACUGACACUCAUGGACGAAAGCUAGGGGAGCGAAUGGG